AUACUAAUGUUCAUUUUAUAGGGUUGUAAACGUUUGUAAGUAUCAGCACGUUUACUGCAUGAAGGUAAACAUGUAAGAAUGGUUCUAACGCAGAUGGCGGUUAGGGUUUAGAUGGGAAAAGGGUGUGCAUGACUUGUUUCUCCUUCCCUCAAAGUCUUGUAGCUAUUGUGGUCAUGAAGUCACACACCCUGGUCUUGGGCCUGUGAUCCUAGCAGAGAUUGCUGGAGAGACACGAGGGGAACAUAGCUGGUUUACAGCCCAAGAGAAGCAUGUGUGUCUUAGGCCUGAUUGAGAGCUGAGGCUGGUUGGUAGAGUUAGGCCCCAGGCUCUUGAGGGCUCUUAAUACUCAACAGGGCAGGCAGAAGUGUCUUGGGAAAGGCCUGUGCAAGUGAUGUCAGUCUCUUACAUUUAGAUACCCUAUGUAUGUUAUUUUUAUUUGAAUAAUUAACAUUUAUCUCUAUCCAUGGCAUUGAUCUUUUGUCAUGAACAGGAAUUAUACAGGAGUAUACUAUGGUUUCUCUCAUGAAGAAGUUUAAAUUGAUAUGUUGGAUACGUGACAGAAACAUACAUAUAUUAUUAGUAACUGUAAACUUUCCAACUUUAAAAAAGUAAAAUUAAGACAAAACAUGAGGCCCAAUCACCGGAGCCAGCCCUGCCUGUAGUUUCCUGAACUAAGUGCUUCUGCCCACCCAGAGCAACUGAUUCUAAGGCCUGGCUCUAGCAAUGGCCUUUGCAAAUCUGCGCAAAGUGCUCAUCAGUGACAGCCUGGACCCCUGCUGCCUGAAGAUCCUGCAAGAUGGAGGGCUGCAGGUAGUGGAGAAGCAGAACUUGAGCAAGGAGGAGCUGACAGCCAAGCUGCAGGACUGUGAAGGCAUUAUUGUCCCGUCGUCUACUAAGGUCACUGCUGAUGUCAUCAAUGCAGCAGAGAAGUGCCAGGUGGUGGGCAGGGCUGGUACAGGCAUGGACAAUGUGGAUCUGGAGGCUGCCAUGAGGAAGGGCAUCCCAGUCAUGAACACCCCCAAUGGAAACAGCCUUAGUGCUGCGGAACGCACCUGUGGGAUGAUCAUGUGCCUGGCCAGGCAGACUCCCCAGGCAACAGCUUCGAUGAAAGAUGGCAAAUGGGACUGGAAGAAGUUCAUGGGGACAGAAUUGAAUGGGAAGACACUGGGAAUUCUUGGCCUAAGCAGAAUCAGAAGAGAGGUGGCCACUUGAAUGCAGUCCUUUGGAAUGAAGACUGUAGGCUAUGACUCCAUCACUUCUCCUGAAGUUGCUGCCUCCUUUGGUGUUCAGCAGCUGCUGCUGGAGGCCUCUUUGUAAUUUCAUAACUGUCCAUGCACCACUCUUGCCCUCCACCACAGGCUUGCUGAAUGACAGCACCUUUGCUCAGUGUAAGAAAGGUGUGUGAGUGAUGAACUGUGCUCGAAGAGGCAUUGUGGAUGAAGGUGCCCUGCUCCGAGCCCUGCACUGGUCAGUGUGCUGGGGCUGCACUGGAUGUGUUUACAGAAGAGGCACUAUCGGACUGGGCCUUAGUGGACCACAAGAACGUCAUUAGCUGUCCCCACCUGGGCGUCAGCACCAAGGAAGCCCAGAGCUGUUGUGGGAGGAAAUUGCAGUCUAGUUUGUGGACAUGGUGAAGGGGAAAUCUCUAACAGGGGUCAUAAACACCCAGACCCUUACCAGUGCCUUCUUUCCACACACCAAUCCUUGGAUUGGUCUGGCAGAAGCAUUGGGCAUGCUGAUGCACGCCUGGGCUGGCUCCCCUAAAGGGACUAUCCAGGUGGUUACACAAGGAACAUCUCUGAAGAAUGCUGGGACCUGCCUGAGCCCUGGAGUCAUUGUCAGCCUUCUGAGAGAAGCAUCCAAGCUGGCAGAUGUGAACUUGGUGAACGCUAAGCUACUGGUGAAAGAGGCUGGCCUCAAUGUCAUUACCUCCCACAGCCCCAGGGUCCCAGGGGAGCAGGGCAGCAGGGAAUGUCUCCUCACUGUGGCCCUGGCAAGUGCUCCCUGCCAAGCUAUAGGCUUGGUCCAGGGCAUCACGCCAAUGCUGCAGGUGCUCAAUGGAGCUUUCUUCAGGCCAGAGGUGCCACACCUGCUCGUGUUCUGGGCUCAGCCCUCCAAUCCUAAAUGCUGCCCACUAUGAUUACCCUCCUGGCCGUCCUACCAAACUUCCAAGGUGUCUGAUGGAAAGACUUGGCACGUUAUGGGCCUCUCCUCCCUGCUGCCUGGCCUGGAAGCAUGGAAGCGGCAAGUAUCUGAGGCUUUCCAGUUCUGCUUCUGACCCUGGGCUCAGUGGUCCUAGCACCCCAGGCUCUUCUGAAGAAACCCUGCUCACUGUGACCUAUAGGGAGAGGAGACUACAGAAUCAGGGCAUCUGCCUGAACUAAUAUCUAGUAAAGAAUCUAACUCCCCCCCCCCCCCCC